GAUGAACGCUGGCGGCGUGCCUAAUACAUGCAAGUCGAGCGAACAGACGAGGUACUUGCUCCUCCUAGGUUAGCGGCGGACGGGUGAGUAACACGUGGAUAACCUACCUUUAAGAGUGGGAUAACUUCGGGAAACCGGAGCUAAUACCGCAUAAUAUAUUGAACCGCAUGGUUUAAUUGUGAAAGAUGCAUUUGCAUCCCUCAAUAGAUGGCUCCCCGCGUCUUUAGUUGGUUGUUAAGGAAACGGCCUCCCAAGGAAACGAUCCGUAGCCGACCUGGGGGGGGGUUCGGCCACACGGGAACGGAGACACGGUCCAGAUUCCUACGGGAGGCGGCAGUAGGAAAUCUUCCGCAAUGGGCGAAAGCUUGACGGGGCAACGCCGCGUGGGUAAUGAGGGUCUUCGGAUCUUAAAACUCUGUUGUUGGGGAAGACCAAGUUUGUAAGUGACUGUGCACGUCUUGACGGUACCUAAUCAGAAAGCCACGGCUAACUACGUG
rnacentral:rRNA from 1 species